UAGUUUGCUUUGGCAGCUCAUACACAAAAUUGAAAUGAUACCGGGAGAUUAGCAUGGUCCUUAUGCUAAAAGGACAUGCAAAAUUGUGGAAAACUCCAUAUUUUU
ensembl:snRNA U6 U6 spliceosomal RNA